GACGAACGCUGGCGGCGUGCUUAACACAUGCAAGUCGAACGGAAAGGCCCUGCUUUUGUGGGGUGCUCGAGUGGCGAACGGGUGAGUAACACGAGAGUAACCUGCCCUUGACUUUGGGAUAACUUCAGGAAACUGGGGCUAAUACCGGAUAGGAGCUCCUGCUGCAUGGUGGGGGUGGGAAUGUUUCGGCGGUUGGGGAUGGACUCGCGGCUUAUCAGCUUGUUGGUGGGGUAGUGGCUUACCAAGGCUUUGACGGGUAGCCGGCCUGAGAGGGUGACCGGCCACAUUGGGACUGAGAUACGGCCCAGACUCCUACGGGAGGCAGCAGUGGGGAAUAUUGCACAAUGGGCGGAAGCCUGAUGCAGCAACGCCGCGUGCGGGAUGACGGCCUUCGGGUUGUAAACCGCUUUCGCCUGGGACGAAGCGUGAGUGACGGUAAUUGGAGAAGAAGCACCGGCUAACUACGUG
rnacentral:rRNA from 1 species